rnacentral:rRNA from 1 species
UCCGCUCUGGGUUAGUCGGGUCCUAAGCUGAGGCCGACAGGCGUAGGCGAUGGAUAACAGGUUGAUAUUCCUGUACCACCUAUAAUCGUUUUAAUCGAUGGGGGGACGCAGUAGGAUAGGCGAAGCGUGCGAUUGGAUUGCACGUCUAAGCAGUAAGGCUGAGUAUUAGGCAAAUCCGGUACUCGUUAAGGCUGAGCUGUGAUGGGGAGAAGACAUUGUGUCUUCGAGUCGUUGAUUUCACACUGCCGAGAAAAGCCUCUAGAUAGAAAAUAGGUGCCCGUACCGCAAACCGACACAGGUAGUCAAGAUGAGAAUUCUAAGGUGAGCGAGCGAACUCUCGUUAAGGAACUCGGCAAAAUGACCCCGUAACUUCGGGAGAAGGGGUGCUCUUUAGGGUUAACGCCCAGAAGAGCCGCAGUGAAUAGGCCCAAGCGACUGUUUAUCAAAAACACAGGUCUCUGCUAAACCGUAAGGUGAUGUAUAGGGGCUGACGCCUGCCCGGUGCUGGAAG